UUAUAGUUAUUCUUUUCCUUAUGAAAAACAAAAAGGGGACUGGGCGUGGUGGCUAACACCUGUAAUCCCAGCACUUGGGGAGGCUGAGGCGGGCGGAUCACAAGGUCAGGAGUUCGAGACCAGACUGGCCAAAAGGAUGAAACCGCAUCUCUCUACUAAAAAUACAAAAAAUUAGCUAGGUGCGGUGGGGCGCACCAGUAAUCCCAGCUACUAGGGAGGCUGAGGUAGGAGAAUAGCUUGAACCCGGGAGGCGGAGGUUGCAGUGAGCCAAGAUCGAGCCACGGCACUCUAGCCCAGGUGACAGUGUGAGACUCUGUCUCAGAAAAAAAAGAAAAACAGGAUCGAGAUGGUUUGCAGGAUUAGCAAGUGAUAGAGAUAUAUUGAAGACAUAGAAAGCCAGUGUGGUUGCUCACACCUAUAAUCCCAGCACUGUGGGAGGCCAAGGCAGGAGGAUCACUUGAGUCGAUGAGUUAGAGACCAACCUGGGCAGCAAAGUGAGACCCCAUCUCUACAAAAAAAUUUUUAAAAAAUCAGCCAGGUGCGGUGGUGCACACCUGUAAUCCCAGCUACUAAGGAGGCUGAGGCAGGAGAAUCUCUUGAACCCAGGAGGCAGAGGUUGCAGUGAGCCAAGAUUGAGCCACGGCACUCUAGCCCAGGUGACAGUGUGAGACUCCAUCUCAGAACAAAAAGAAUAACAGGAUAGGGAUGGUUUGCAGGAUUAUCAAGUGAUACAGAUGUACUGAAGACAUAGAAAGCCAGUGUGGUUGCUCACAUCUAUAAUCCCAACACUUUGGGAGGCCAGGGCAGGAGGAUCACUUGAGUUGAAGAGUUAGAGACCAACCUGGGCAACAAAGUGAGACCCCCACCUCUACAAAACAUUAAAAAAAAAUGAGCUGCACAUGUUGGCACGCACUUGUAAUCCCAGCUACUUGGGAGGCUGAGGUGAGAGGAUCACUUGAGCACAGGAGGUUACAGUGAGCUAUGAUCACGCCACUCGACUCCAGCCUGAAUGACAGAGCGAGACCCUGUCUCAAAAAAGUGGGGGGAAAUAAAAGGAUAUAGUGCACUGGAUUGAAACUUUCUCCUGUCGUUAUCAUAAUCACAAGAAUUGAAGUAACUAAAAAGAGAAUCAUAGUCUCAAUGUGUGCUUGAAUGUUAUUUAACAUCACGUCUCUGCUACCUCAUCAUUAACCAGCUGUGGUAAUGAUUCCACACUUUGAACCCAUCCCACCUGUUGACAGAAGCGAUUGCAAUGCCAGCAUCACUCAGUGACAGCUCAUCAUGUAGGGCCCAGAAUACUGAUUUUGUGACUUCUAAGCUUGUGCUCCAUUCCCAACACAAAGUCUUCUGACCAGCCUUUGAGUACCAUUAUUGUAGAAGAAGCUCAUCUUAGGUAACUAUUACUAGAGCAGAAAUCACUUAAUAUAAAAUAUUUCAUGUAUCAAAUUUAAAACUCACUUUUGGGUUCAUUGAUGUAGUAACUCACCCGGGAAACUUAAAUGGAAUUAGUGUUUUCACUGACAAUAAUGAUGCUACUUUUUCAUUAUAGGCCCAUAAGAUGGCCUGGCCUUUCCUUGAACCAGUAGACCCUAAUGAUGCACCAGAUUAUUAUGGUGUUAUUAAGGAACCUAUGGACCUUGCCACCAUGGAAGAAAGAGUACAAAGACGAUAUUAUGAAAAGCUGACGGAAUUUGUGGCAGAUAUGACCAAAAUUUUUGAUAACUGUCGUUACUACAAUCCAAGUGACUCCCCAUUUUACCAGUGUGCAGAAGUUCUCGAAUCAUUCUUUGUACAGAAAUUGAAAGGCUUCAAAGCUAGCAGGUCUCAUAACAACAAACUGCAGUCUACAGCUUCUUAAAGUUCAGCGUGUUAACCUAACAUAAAACACAGCAAGAAUCUGGUUGUCUGAACUAUUUUAAAUUAAGGAGCCAGAUGUUUUUAGUCAGGCUAUCCUGACAAGACUUGACCUAAACUUCGUUUUUAUUGGUCAUAACAGUCCAAUUAUAUUCUUGGCCAAUUUUGUCCAACGGACAAGAAAAAAGCAAAGUCAACGACACCAUUAUCUUGUCAAGAUCAAAUGGUUUUACUAUUGUGGCAGAAGCGAGAAAACUUUGUUUAUUG
rnacentral:sRNA from 1 species